AUUGAACGCUGGCGGCAUGCUUUACACAUGCAAGUCGAACGGCAGCGCGGGCUUCGGCCUGGCGGCGAGUGGCGAACGGGUGAGUAAUGCAUCGGAACGUGCCCAGUAGUGGGGGAUAGCCCGGCGAAAGCCGGCUUAAUACCGCAUACGACCUGAGGGUGAAAGCGGGGGACCGAAAGGCCUCGCGCUAUUGGAUCGGCCGAUGUCGGAUUAGCUAGUUGGUGGGGUAAAGGCUUACCAAGGCGACGAUCCGUAGCUGGUCUGAGAGGACGACCAGCCACACUGGGACUGAGACACGGCCCAGACUCCUACGGGAGGCAGCAGUGGGGAAUUUUGGACAAUGGGGGCAACCCUGAUCCAGCCAUGCCGCGUGCGGGAAGAAGGCCUUCGGGUUGUAAACCGCUUUUGUUCGGGAAGAAAUCCUCUGGGCUAAUACCCCGGGGGGAUGACGGUACCGGAAGAAUAAGCACCGGCUAACUACGUG
rnacentral:rRNA from 1 species